rnacentral:rRNA from 1 species
CGAGGAUGAACGCUGGCGGCGUGCUUAACACAUGCAAGUCGAACGGAGCUUAGUGGAUCAAGACUUCGGUCAAGUGAAAUUAAGCUUAGUGGCGGACGGGUGAGUAACGCGUGAGGAACCUGCCUCGGAGUGGGGAAUAACAGUUGGAAACGACUGCUAAUACCGCAUAAUGCAUAGAGAUCGCAUGGUCUUUAUGCCAAAGAUUUUAUCGCUCUGAGAUGGCCUCGCGUCUGAUUAGCUAGUUGGCGGGGUAACGGCCCACCAAGGCGACGAUCAGUAGCCGGACUGAGAGGUUGGCCGGCCACAUUGGGACUGAGACACGGCCCAGACUCCUACGGGAGGCAGCAGUGGGGAAUAUUGGGCAAUGGGCGCAAGCCUGUUACCCAGCAACGCCGCGUGAAGGAAGAAGGCUUUCGGGUUGUAAACUUCUUUUCUUGGGGGACGAACAGAUGACGGUACCCAAGGAAUAAGCCACGGCUAACUACGUG